CAGCCGCCGCGGGAAUACGUAGGUCCCGAGCGUUGUCCGGAUUUAUUGGGCGUAAAGCGAGCGCAGGCGGUUUGAUAAGUCUGAAGUUAAAGGCUGUGGCUCAACCAUAGUUCGCUUUGGAAACUGUCAAACUUGAGUGCAGAAGGGGAGAGUGGAGUUCCAUGUGUAGCGGUGAAAUGCGUAGAUAUAUGGAGGAACACCGGUGGCGAAAGCGGCUCUCUGGUCUGUAACUGACGCUGAGGCUCGAAAGCGUGGGGAGCGAACAGGAUUAGAUACCCCGGUAGUCCCUGUCUCUUAUACA
rnacentral:rRNA from 1 species